UCUAAACAUUCUGAACAUCACCUGGGACCAUCUGUAAAAUCAACCACAUACUUGGCAACAUAGAAAACCACAAAAGAGCAACAGAGAUCGUUUGAAGACAAACCUGCUGAGGGCACUGACCUGCUCAGCUUCUCACCUUGUCUGCUCCUUGUGCCUCUGACCUCUCUCAUUUACUGUCUGACAGUGCAAAGAAUUGAGACAAAGAAGGCUCUGGAUGCUGAACACCUUGGAGGCAGAAUCUGGCCACCUUCUCCCUUAACCAUUGCAUGAUAUUCUUUACACUGAAGGAUUUAAAUUUCUUUGUUAUAUACAAGUCCACAAGGAAAAUAUAAUGUUAUAAAAUUCCAACUAGGAA